GACGAAGGUGGCAAGCGUUGUUCGGAGUUACUGGGCGUAAAGAGUCUGUAGGUGGUCUGUCAAGUCUUUGGUGAAAGGCCGUGGCUUAACCAUGGGAAUGCCAAAGAGACUGGCAGACUGGAGGCUGGGAGAGGGAAGCGGAAUCUCUGGUGUAGCGGUGAAAUGCGUAGAUAUCAGAAGGAAGGCCGGUGGCGAAGGCGGCUUCCUGGAACAGGCCUGACACUGAGAGACGUAAGCGUGGGGAGCAAACAGC
rnacentral:rRNA from 1 species